UUUCCUAGUCUGAUGUACACAGGUUGCUGAUUUUGAAGCUGUUCCUGUUAAACCUCAGUCUGCAAGUUUCUUGUCUUCAAGUCUUGUCAUUUCUGUAUUUACCUGGACAAUCCAUUUACCAGCAUUUCUUCAGUCUACAAAAUCUAGUGAUUUACUGGGAUUUAGUUGGCAUCCCGAUGGUCAAGAUGUCGGCGGUUAGAAGAUCGGUGCCAGAAUCUAGAUGUUGGAAUUCCAAUGGGCAGCAUCCAAAUUUUGAACCUCCUUCCUCCUCUGAUUUUCAAAAAGACUUUAGCUUUUCUGACUGGCUGGCCACUACUAGUCCCAGCAGCAUCGAUUCCUGGUCACAGAUGAGGCUCCUGUCUGUUAAUGUGAAGGAGAAAACAUCAU